AGUAAUUCUCCCCACCUUUCCUUUUACUCCCUGGAAAACUAGGGAGGGUCCGUUCUGAAAUGCUUCAGUUUUUUUCACUCAUCUGGGUGUACCGGCUGACUGUAACUGGAUAUGUUUUUUCCCCCCCUCUGAUUUGUAGCUAAGAUUUGUAUUGAAUUGGAGACUUUUCCAGAGAGUUACCAAAAAUAUUCCCUCAAAUUGAGGUACGUAGCCUUGAGGGCUUCUUCCUAGUGAGCCUGCACAUAAUUCAACAUUGUGCCAUGAGGGAACUGUCAUUUCUUCCUCAAUAUCAGCAGGGAUGAGAAACGUCUAAUUUUUUUUUUUUCCCAAAGAGGGGCUUAGAUUUAGAAACGCAAAGGUCAAACAAGUCAUUGUGUGGAAAUGUACUGGGUCUUGUUAUCCUCAUUAAUGCUCUUCCUCUUCUCUUAAGCUGAUGAUGUUCGUUUGCAGAAGAAUGAUUUCUAACUCUGAGUGUACCUUUUUAUAUAAACAGAGGAUUAAGCUCAAAAUCCAUACUGAAAGUAAAAAUAUGGGACAGCUGUUUUCAUGUGACUCAUCCUACCUUCUCAAACUGACAAGACGUGUAAAUGAAUUGGUCCUAGCUAUAAACAUAUUAACCAUGGAAAAGCUGUGUUAGAUAAAUCAGCCAUUAAUAAAAGGGGUGGGAACGCACCAGUGGCAUCUAGCCAGGUACUUUAUGAUAAGCCUUUGCAGGCGUGGGCCAAUCAGACUUGAUAGUUUGCUGGCGCUGGCUUCUUCGGCCAAUGCUGCAGUAAACACUUUCCCUUGGAAGUUGGUUUUCUGUUGUGUCUGGCAGCCACACUGGGUUGCUUGAACUUUAGCCAGAGGCAAAUAUUUAUACAUCAGAGCAUGCAGUGUUCAACUGGUCAGGCCUGCAAGAAAGGGGGAGAGCAGUUGGGCUCUUUCACCAAAAAGGAUAUGUGUCCUUUUUUAAUGGCAUUCAUGACGUGGUGAAACGGAGCCCCAUUUGAGUCUAUUUCAGUGUCAACUGUAUAUCUUGUAACAUAAACUUCACAAAUUUGUUUAAACAUCAGGCUUAGAUAUAUUUUUAAAAGAGGAGCAUCCUGAUGUGAGCUCUGUUCCUUUAAUUCCUGUUGGAAAGUUUACAGUUAAUAUUUUCCCUGGAACGCUGUCAAGCUUUUGACAGAGCCUGAGUGUAUGCUGAACUGUGAAACUGAGAAGCAGAGCAAGUUGUGAGAAAUCUGUUUCUACUCAAAUCUGUAAGGCUUAUAAAAACUUCAGAGAGGCAGAAAGAGGGGGAGAAAAAUCUGAGACUGGCUCUCAUUUUGCUUCUCAUGGAGCGCAGUAAGUCCGCCAUUUUAAGAAUUCAGCAAAGGGCGAAGCUUUCAGACUCCUUACAUGGCGGCUGUAUUUACUUCAGUGCCGGCCAAUCAUACAGUCUGUGCCAAAUCACAUGACAUGCCACGAAUGCACUUACAGUCAUUUCCUUGUUUCUAAAAACUUUGUUACCUCGACAGAUUACUUUACCUUGUUUUUGAUGCCAAAUGUUCUUUGCCGAACGUGUCUUGCAAGCUGGCGUUUGUCCACAAAGUUAUUUUAGUAGGUUAAAAAAAAAUCUUCAAGCACUUGAGCUGUGUGCAUUCUUUAUGGAAAAUGGAUUUCCCCUCCUGGCCUCAAUCCAAAAGCACAGAACACUCGCUGGGCGAGAAGAGAGCUUCUCUGCAGAGGAACUGGUGGACUGACACACUCUAAAUUUUUGGCACUUGACCAGACGAGUGAGAUAGAUGCCAGAAUUCAACAAAAUAACACAUUAUUGUGUAAUAGGAACAGGACUCAAAAUGAGCAAAGGCUCACAAGAACAGAACACCAGUGCUUCUUUCUUUUUUUAUAACAGAAGCUCAAAAUGGCACUUUAAAAAUGUUAUUUCAGAAGAAUAAGGGAGGAAAUAGUACUGUAAUGUAUUGAAUGAAUACAAUCAUACAGUUUCAAACAUAAAACAGGAGGGCUGGAGAGAGGGAGGGAGGGAGAAAGAAUGGAUUAAAAUUACUUUUGUGAGGAUUUUUUCCUCCCAAACUUGCACUGUAUUAUUCACGUUAACCCAAUGCUUUCCAAUCCAGAGUUCUAAAUUGUAUGGAACAUUUAAAACAACACAACUGUUUUUAUUUCAAGAGCCCACAAACCCAAAAUUUUAACUUUAGUGCUAAAAAUAAGUUUUAAAUUCUUAAAAUCAAAGUUGUCAGUGAAAAAAGUUAAGAACUGAAUGCUAAAGCAUGCAUGUUGUUAUAUUCUUGACAAAGCAGCUAAAAUCAAUCUGUCCUUAAGUUAGAUCUGCUAGAUAGGGAAACAGUCAACAAUACAUUUUAUGAACCACCAGCAGAAUCUGGUAUUGCUGUAUGUCACUGAAGUCAAUCUGUUACUGUUGUACUGACAUAACUGACAUUAGUGCUACUGGUCAGGAAUGAAUGGCCAUUUUGCCCAGAAAUCAUCACUGCCUCCAGGACAGCAUAAUGUUAUUGAAUCAAUGGGUAAACCCAGACAUAUUUCCCCUUUAUCCUCAUAACUAGAAUGGAGGAUAGGUCUGAUGUGCAUCCACACAAUUCAGCAGCAGUGUAUAGACCUAGCUAGUGGUCAUAAAUCUCAUACAUCAGGGGGCAAGAUUUCAGUACUCUUCUACAGAGCUUGGCAUUCAUAAAUGGGAACUUCAGUGAUUGAGAACAUCUGGUGAAGUAUUUGGCUCACAUAGCCAAGGCCUAGGGAGGGCAUAAUUUUAAUACUUGAUUUCUCAGAACCCUUAGAGAUACUCUGCCUCAGGACUCCAGAUAAAAGGACAGAGCUGGAAUUUCAACUUCAAUCCUGCAACUGGGGCUGCAUUGAUAAAGUUUCCCACAGAGAAUCAGAAAUCUGACACAUUGAGCAGGAAAAAAAAUUAGUCAUUGCCAUCAGAAAUCCACAACAGCUCUCAACGUAAGAUAGGUAACCUGACA